AUUGAACGCUGGCGGCAUGCCUUACACAUGCAAGUCGAACGGUAACAGGUCUUCGGAUGCUGACGAGUGGCGAACGGGUGAGUAAUACAUCGGAACGUGCCCGAUCGUGGGGGAUAACGAAGCGAAAGCUUUGCUAAUACCGCAUACGAUCUAAGGAUGAAAGCAGGGGACCGCAAGGCCAUGCGCGAACGGAGCGGCCGAUGGCAGAUUAGGUAGUUGGUGGGAUAAAAGCUUACCAAGCCGACGAUCUGUAGCUGGUCUGAGAGGACGACCAGCCACACUGGGACUGAGACACGGCCCAGACUCCUACGGGAGGCAGCAGUGGGGAAUUUUGGACAAUGGGCGAAAGCCUGAUCCAGCCAUGCCGCGUGCAGGAUGAAGGCCUUCAGGUUGUAAACUGCUUUUGUACGGAACGAAAAGACUCUGGUUAAUACCUGGGGUCGAUGACGGUACCGUAAGAAUAAGCACCGGCUAACUACGUGCCAGCCGCCGCGGUAA
rnacentral:rRNA from 1 species